AUUGAACGCUAGCGGGAUGCUUUACACAUGCAAGUCGAACGGCAGCGCGAGAAAGCUUGCUUUCUUGGCGGCGAGUGGCGAACGGGUGAGUAAUGUAUCGGAACGUGCCCAAUAGCGGGGGAUAACUACGCGAAAGCGUGGCUAAUACCGCAUACGUCCUACGGGAGAAAGGGGGGGAUCGCAAGACCUCUCACUAUUGGAGCGGCCGAUAUCGGAUUAGCUGGUUGGUGGGGUAAAGGCCUACCAAGGCGACGAUCCGUAGCUGGUUUGAGAGGACGACCAGCCACACUGGGACUGAGACACGGCCCAGACUCCUACGGGAGGCAGCAGUGGGGAAUUUUGGACAAUGGGGGCAACCCUGAUCCAGCCAUCCCGCGUGUGCGAUGAAGGCCUUCGGGUUGUAAGGCACUUUUGGCAGGGAAGAAACGGCCUGGGAUAAUACCCCGGGCUAAUGACGGUACCUGCAGAAUAAGCACCGGCUAACUACGUGCCAGCCGCCGCCGUAAAAC
rnacentral:rRNA from 1 species